AUCUUUCUAGUAUCAAAAAGUACAAAUGACUUCCAAUUAUUUAGUCUUGGUUAAACUCCAAGGAAAGAUA
rnacentral:tRNA from 1 species